GUAAAGAUGCCUCCUUUUAUUCUUUUUUUGUUUAAUAUUUUGAAAUAAAAUAAUCAAGAAAAAAAACAAAAAAAAAGAAAGUAACCUUCAAUCUUUUCUUUCUUCUGAACCGUUCUUGUAUUACAAAGGUUCUUAAUCGGUUUCCUUCCCCGAUUUCAAAAAAAAAUCCCCAUUUUACAUUGGUUUCAAUGGCUUGAUAUAGCCCUAAUACAUUUUUUAUAUUAUUUGUUGUCUUUUCUCUGUUGUUGCGUGUCCUUGCAGGUGCUUUGAUGGGAGUGGUUGGUGGUGGUUGCGGCGGUGGCAGGGAGUUGGUGGGCAUGGCAGAGGCUAGGGCGGCAGCUAGGGUUAUGGAGGCUAGGUUUUUGGUUUUUUUCUUUUUUCUGAUUUGGUUUAGGGUGUUUUGGGCUAGGGUUUGGUUGGGUCUUGUUAUUGGGCUGAUUGUUUUGGUUUAAUUAUUUUGGGUUCUUAUUUUUGUUUGGGUUAAUUGGGCCUGGGCAAAUGGGCUGUACAUUUACAAACAGGAGUGUCGAGACAAUUUGCAAUGCCAACAACAGGCUUUACGUGCUCCAUUGCUAUGUCCCUGCAAUGCAAUCAUAUAAAACAGUAGCAGAGAAUGAAAAUCUGUGAAUGAAUUGGAUAUUUUAUGAAGUAUUGAUAUGUCAGUGUAAGCAUGAAAAGGAAAACAUGAAUGCAAGUUUCAAGCAACGGCGUUUAUUAGAUGGAGCUAUGGAUGGGUGGCAGACAGAAACAUGAUGAAAUUCUGGUCACCAGAAUUAAGCUCUCGAUGUAUAUAAAAUGCUAGAUUCAAGUGUGCAACAGUUCAUUACAGAGUAUUAAGAGUUAAAAUGUUCUUUCUGUAUUAAUUUCAAUCUAGAGUAGAUUAUGUCUGCUGAUCAACUUGUCUUAAAAUCUAAAACUGUUGAUAAUGAGUAGAGGAAAUCAUAGCUUCAGAUUUUAUUACCUGACUUAGUGGCUGAAAAGUGUUGAGAGAAUAGAACUGAAAAUGAAGCAGUGUCUUACAAAGCUAGCUGCUAUGAGUAGCAGACAAUCAGAAACAAUCAUCGUAAAGUCAUGAAUCAAGCAAAGAAAAGCAUGUGAUGGAUAAAGCAAAUGAAAGAAAAUUACCUGGAAAUUUGGUGAUAGACCUUGGAGAUCAAAACAAAAUCAUUGAAGUUGGCAAUAAAUAAUAUUUAAUAAAAAUAAGAGUUGGGACAGCAAGGUAUAAGAAUGUAUAAUUAUAUGUUACAACUUGAAAUUAAAUAUACAAGUAAAUGAGUUGUAUUAGUAAAUGAUUUGCAUUGUGAAGUUGUCAGUAUUAAAUUUUGGAUCCUAACUGUAG
rnacentral:lncRNA from 1 species